rnacentral:lncRNA from 1 species
AUUUCAUUCAUAAUAAUAGUAGCAAUACAAUGAGGGAUUACAUUAAAAGUACUGCGAUAAGCAUGGGAUAAAGCUGCUCGUGCGAGUGCAUGAGCGCUACCGUUUGCUUGACGCCUAGUAAAAACGACUAUGAAGUCAUUAUAGUGAUGAAGUAAGGUUCGUCAAUUUUGAAUGAUUGAACCAUACUCCGAUUGGUUGAUACUCAUCUUGUUCACAUCAUCCACAACAAUCUUACAAUCUAGUUC